AGUGGCGAACUGGUGAGUAACACGUGGGAAACCUGCCCAGAAGCGGGGGAUAACACCUGGAAACAGAUGCUAAUACCGCAUAACAACUUGGACCGCAUGGUCCGAGCUUGAAAGAUGGCUUCGGCUAUCACUUUUGGAUGGUCCCGCGGCGUAUUAGCUAGAUGGUGGGGUAACGGCUCACCAUGGCAAUGAUACGUAGCCGACCUGAGAGGGUAAUCGGCCACAUUGGGACUGAGACACGGCCCAAACUCCUACGGGAGGCAGCAGUAGGGAAUCUUCCACAAUGGACGAAAGUCUGAUGGAGCAACGCCGCGUGAGUGAAGAAGGGUUUCGGCUCGUAAAACUCUGUUGUUAAAGAAGAACAUAUCUGAGAGUAACUGUUCAGGUAUUGACGGUAUUUAACCAGAAAGCCACGGCUAACUACGUGCCAGCAGCCGCGGUAAUACGUAGGUGGCAAGCGUUGUCCGGAUUUAUUGGGCGUAAAGCGAGCGCAGGCGGUUUUUUAAGUCUGAUGUGAAAGCCUUCGGCUCAACCGAAGAAGUGCAUCGGAAACUGGGAAACUUGAGUGCAGAAGAGGACAGUGGAACUCCAUGUGUAGCGGUGAAAUGCGUAGAUAUAUGGAAGAACACCAGUGGCGAAGGCGGCUGUCUGGUCUGUAACUGACGCUGAGGCUCGAAAGUAUGGGUAGCAAACAGGAUUAGAUACCCUGGUAGUCCAUACCGUAAACGAUGAAUGCUAAGUGUUGGAGGGUUUCCGCCCUUCAGUGCUGCAGCUAACGCAUUAAGCAUUCCGCCUGGGGAGUACGGCCGCAAGGCUGAAACUCAAAGGAAUUGACGGGGGCCCGCACAAGCGGUGGAGCAUGUGGUUUAAUUCGAAGCUACGCGAAGAACCUUACCAGGUCUUGACAUACUAUGCAAAUCUAAGAGAUUAGACGUUCCCUUCGGGGACAUGGAUACAGGUGGUGCAUGGUUGUCGUCAGCUCGUGUCGUGAGAUGUUGGGUUAAGUCCCGCAACGAGCGCAACCCUUAUUAUCAGUUGCCAGCAUUAAGUUGGGCACUCUGGUGAGACUGCCGGUGACAAACCGGAGGAAGGUGGGGAUGACGUCAAAUCAUCAUGCCCCUUAUGACCUGGGCUACACACGUGCUACAAUGGAUGGUACAACGAGUUGCGAACUCGCGAGAGUAAGCUAAUCUCUUAAAGCCAUUCUCAGUUCGGAUUGUAGGCUGCAACUCGCCUACAUGAAGUCGGAAUCGCUAGUAAUCGCGGAUCAGCAUGCCGCGGUGAAUACGUUCCCGGGCCUUGUACACACCGCCCGUCACACCAUGAGAGUUUGUAACACCCAAAGUCGGUGGGGUAACCUUUUAGGAACCAGCCGC
rnacentral:rRNA from 2 species